rnacentral:rRNA from 1 species
GACGAACGCUGGCGGCGUGCCUAAUACAUGCAAGUCGAACGAGAGCGACCGGUGCUUGCACUGGUCAAUCUAGUGGCGAACGGGUGAGUAACACGUGGGUAACCUGCCCAUCAGAGGGGGAUAACAUUCGGAAACGGAUGCUAAAACCGCAUAGGUCUUCGAACCGCAUGGUUUGAAGAGGAAAAGAGGCGCAAGCUUCUGCUGAUGGAUGGACCCGCGGUGCAUUAGCUAGUUGGUGAGGUAACGGCUCACCAAGGCCGUGAUGCAUAGCCGACCUGAGAGGGUGAUCGGCCACAUUGGGACUGAGACACGGCCCAAACUCCUACGGGAGGCAGCAGUAGGGAAUCUUCCGCAAUGGACGCAAGUCUGACGGAGCAACGCCGCGUGAGUGAAGAAGGUUUUCGGAUCGUAAAACUCUGUUGUUAGAGAAGAAC